rnacentral:lncRNA from 1 species
AUGGAGGUAAAACCUCCACCCGGUCGCCCCCAGCCCGACUUACAGACUGUGUGGUAAUGAGAGAUCCCCAAACAAAAUGUUCCAGAGGCUUUGGUUUUGUGACCUACUCUUGUGUUGAAGAGGUGGCUGCUGCACUGUGUGCACGGCCACACAAGGUUGAUGGGCGUGUGGUGGAACAGAAGAGAGCUGUUUCUAGAGAGGACUUUGUAAAGCCUGGUGCCCGUUUAGUGGUGAAGAAAAUUUUUGUUGGUGGUAUUAAAGAGGAUACAGAAGAAUAUAACCUGAGAGACUACUUUGAAAAGUAUGGCAAGAUUGAAACCAUAGAGGUUAUGGAAGACAGGCAGAGUGGGAAAAAGAAGGUUUGCUUUUGUAACUUUUGAUGAUCAUGACACAGUUGAUAAAAUUGUUGUUCAGAAAUACCACACUAUUAAUGGGCAUAAUUGUGAAGUGAAAAAGGCCCUUUCUAAA